rnacentral:lncRNA from 1 species
GAACAGUGUUUCAUCUUUGUAUAUCAACAUUUUCAGUAUUCUGCCUGCUCUUUGGAUGCAGCUUCACCCUCGUAUAUCAGUACUGUCUGAUUUCUGCCUGCUAUUUGGACAGGACAUAAGCAUUAACUUUAUUUCAACUACAGUGUAAUAUUUGGGAAUUGUUUUAUUAGCCAUGUGGGUGCAGUGACUGAUACUUGUGUCUGCUUGUGAGUAACUCCCCCUUAUUUUCUGUCCUUGCUCAGCCAUGCUGAAACUGCGCACAGAUGUGAGGCCAACAGCAGCGACAGAAAGGCUUUGUCAACACCAGCAAAUCACUGAAUCUACCUCUACAAGAGUAGUCUGAAGUGAUUAGAAGGUCCAUGGGAAUGGAAGCUUUCAGAAGGAGGAAGGGUCAGGUCUGUCUUGGAGAACUCAUCCCCACAGAAGCAAGAGGGAGGCUGCGCCAGUAACUCCUGUGGGAGGUCUAGCUGGGAAGCCAUCUUUGGCAGCACAGCCCUACCCCAGGAUUUCAGCCCAUCACAAGGACUAGCUCGGCUCCUGCCUCUAGUGCUUCAGUCUGCUUGAAAACUCAGACAUCAAUAAGGCAGUUAAGGUAGGUGAUAUCGUUAGGUAUUAUUUACCUGUUAAGGUUAAGGCACAUCUUCCUUUUCUGUGAAAAUCAAACUCCUUUU